rnacentral:rRNA from 1 species
UACGGGGGGGGCAAGCGUUUGUUCGGAAUUACUGGGCGUAAAGGGCUCGUAGGCGGCCAACUAAGUCAUACGUGAAAUCCCUCGGCUUAACCGGGGAACUGCGUCUGAUACUGGAUGGCUUGAGUUCGGGAGAGGGAUGCGGAAUUCCAGGUGUAGCGGUGAAAUGCGUAGAUAUCUGGAGGAACACCGGUGGCGAAGGCGGCAUCCUGGACCGAUACUGACGCUGAGGAGCGAAAGCGUGGGGAGCGAACGAGG